UGAAUUUAAGCAUAUCACUAAGCGGAGGAAAAGAAACUAACAAGGAUUCCCCUAGUAGCGGCGAGCGAAGAGGGAAAAGCCCAGCACCGAACCUCGCGCCCUCGGGUGUCGCGGAAUGUGGUGUUCAGGAGGACCGUGCGCGUCUGUCCGGUAUCGUCCAAGUCUCCAUGAAUGGGGCCAGCAACCCAGAGAGGGUGUCAGGCCCGUGGUGACGAGCCGCGACCGUGCAUUGGGUCUCUCCUUAGAGUCGGGUUGCUUGAGAGUGCAGCCCUAAGCGGGAGGUAAACUCCUUCUAAGGCUAAAUACGGCCACGAGACCGAUAGCAAACAAGUACCGCGAGGGAAAGUUGAAAAGAACUUUGAAGAGAGAGUUCAAGAGUGCGUGAAACCGUUCAGGGGGUUAAACGGGUGGGCCCUCGAAGGUCGAACGGUCCCCAUCACGGCUCUCGUUGAGUCGGCCCGCGGCGCGCAGUGAUUCCUCUCGGAACACCGCGCCGCGGUUCGCCGGCUUGCGGGGGCUGUUAGCUGGGGGCCCAGUAGGACUCCGCAACCGGCUGGCGGGCCGUCAGAAGGGUUCUGGAGGAAGCCUCCUCGCGGGGUGGAUUCCGGGAUUUCCGGACGGUCCCGUCGGCCGUGAACCGAAAUUUCUCCCCUCACGGGGAGAAUGAGCGGAGAGUAGUGUCGGGUCCCACCCGACCCGUCUUGAAACACGGACCAAGGAGUCUAACAUGUGCGCGAGUCGUCGGGUACUACAAAACCCGAAGGCGCAAUGAAAGUGAAGGCCACCCUCGUUGGCGGCUGAGGGGAGAUCCCGUUCUGCUCCGGUAGCUCGGGCGCAUCCCCGGGGCGUCGAAGCCGCGUUGCCGGCUAGACGCACCAAGAGCGUACACGUUGGGACCCGAAAGAUGGUGACCUAUGCCUGACCAGGACGAAGCCAGGGGAAACCCUGGUGGAGGUCCGCAGCGAUUCUGACGUGCAAAUCGAUCGUCUGAGUUGGGUAUAGGGGCGAAAGACUAAUCGAACCAUCUAGUAGCUGGUUCCCCCCGAAGUUCCCUCAGAA
rnacentral:rRNA from 1 species